GGGGAGAACAUUCUAGAUGUGUGUCAGUUAACAGACUGGAAAGUUGAACAUCAGUAACUCCUAACAUUAUGUCAAAAACACAAAGCCUUUAAUCUCCCUUUUAGUGGUACCAAAAACUGCAAGAAGAAUUCAGAAAACUUAAGAAACACACAACUGAAGAAAACCAAUCUUGAGGGGAGGAGCUUGAGCCCAAAGGCCACAGCAGAAGCCGUUGGAGAAAACGAUGAAGCAACUGUUUUCUAAUCAUAUGAACUGAGGACGACAUAUUACAAACCCAAGUCACUUUCAGCAAAGAAGAGAAGCUCCUUGAAUCAUCGGGAUGACUGUGUGCUGAAGGUGCUGAGCUGUGCAUAGCUCCUUUGGCUAAGCUUUUGUGGAAACAUCAUCUGUUGUUAAUUCAGUCCAGGAUUCCUGCAAACAGAAGUUUGUAGGACAAGAAAGCGACUGAAAGAGAGAGAGAGAGAAAGAGUAAGAGGUGCAAGAAAGAAAGAGUUGUAGUGGGGAAUGGUUUAACAGCACAAAACAACAACAAAACGAAGAGCAAGAAGAAACUGAAGCAACAUAAUAAUAGUUAUGGACUAAAGCUUUUCAAUAAAGCAAAACAAUCCAGGAGAGAGAUGGAACCAGCGGUGAAGGCACCCAAGGUGAAAGCCUCCCCAAAGUCAAGUGAAAAUGAAAAAACAGGAGCACCCCAAAGAGCAGCAGAAAUCAUGGCAAACAGAAAAGACAGGAGCCCUGAACAAACACUGGAGACCACAUUGAAAACACCGGGAACCAGUACAGUACCAAGGAUGGCAACUGCAAAAGCUUCAACAUCUGAUAUAAUACUCAGAGCAGCAGAAAAGGUGGCAAGAUCACAGGUUGAGUUAGUACUGAAAUCAGCAAGAGCAGAGCUGAAACAGAGGAGAAAGGGAAGUUUGAAGCAAAAAGAUCUGCACCAGCUAGAGGAAAAUGGAAUUAAUGAAACUGAAAGGAAAUAAAGGAGCAAAAUAACCAGCAGGCACACAGUAUGUUAGCAACUGAACAAUGUGACCCUGAGAAUUAACUGCAUAUCAAACCCAAUGUCAGUAUUUGUGUCAUCCCUUGGAAACAUUUGACCAAUAAAGGUGCUCUGCAUCCUCA